GAUGAACGCUAGCGGGAGGCCUAACACAUGCAAGCCGAGCGGUAUUGUUUCUUCGGAAAUGAGAGAGCGGCGUACGGGUGCGGAACACGUGUGCAACCUGCCUUUAUCUGGGGGAUAGCCCUUUCGAAAGGAAGAUUAAUACUCCAUAAUAUAUUGAACGGCAUCGUUUAAUAUUGAAAGCUCCGGCGGAUAGAGAUGGGCACGCGCAAGAUUAGCUAGUUGGUGAGGUAACGGCUCACCAAGGCAAUGAUCUUUAGGGGGCCUGAGAGGGUGAUCCCCCACACUGGUACUGAGACACGGACCAGACUCCUACGGGAGGCAGCAGUGAGGAAUAUUGGUCAAUGGGUGCAAGCCUGAACCAGCCAUCCCGCGUGAAGGACGACUGCCCCUAUGGGUUGUAAACUUCUUUUGUAUUAGGGAUAAACCUUUCCACGUGUGGAAAGCUGAAGGUACUAUACGAUAAGCACCGGCUAACUCCGUAGCCAGCAG
rnacentral:rRNA from 1 species